UACGUAGGGUGCGAGCGUUGUCCGGAAUUAUUGGGCGUAAAGAGCUUGUAGGCGGUUUGUCGCGUCUGCCGGUGAAAAUCCGGGGCUCAACCCCGGACUUGCGGUGGGUACGGGCAGACUAGAGUGUGGUAGGGGGAGACUGGAAUUCCUGGUGUAGCGGUGAAAUGCGCAGAUAUCAGGAGGAACACCGGAUGGCGAAGGCAGGUCUCUGGGCCACUACUGACGGCUGAGAAGCGAAAGCGUGGGGAGCGAACAGG
rnacentral:rRNA from 1 species